GAGAUAUUAGUAAAACAAUUACAUAACCUUGUCAAGGUUAAAUUAUAGAUUCAACCCUAUAUAUCUUA
rnacentral:tRNA from 1 species